rnacentral:rRNA from 1 species
UUUUAUUUGAGAGUUUGAUCCUGGCUCAGGAUGAACGCUGGCGGCGUGCCUAACACAUGCAAGUUGAGCGAUUUACUUCGGUAAAGAGCGGCGGACGGGUGAGUAACGCGUGGGUAACCUACCCUGUACACACGGAUAACAUACCGAAAGGUAUGCUAAUACGGGAUAAUAUAUUUGAGAGGCAUCUCUUAAAUAUCAAAGGUGAGCCAGUACAGGAUGGACCCGCGUCUGAUUAGCUAGUUGGUAAGGUAACGGCUUACCAAGGCGACGAUCAGUAGCCGACCUGAGAGGGUGAUCGGCCACAUUGGAACUGAGACACGGUCCAAACUCCUACGGGAGGCAGCAGUGGGGAAUAUUGCACAAU